GUCUCUAGCUAACACACUGACUACCGCCUCUUUUGACCUUAUUAUACCAAGAAUGUGAGGGUCUUCAAAUGUCCAAUACAAUUGCAAGUAAAACAAAAAUAGGGAGGAUUUUCAUAUUCAAUUUCAAAAUAAAUUUUUUCCCUUUCAACCCACAAGUGCAUAGUGACCAAAUGAGUGAUUUCUAGUGUUCUCAUCAAUUGAAACAGGCGUACUAAUCGCCCCAGCAAUUUCAAAUAAGAUCAUAGGCUGCCAAUAUUCAAGAGGGAGAUAAUGCAAACACACCCAUACCUAACUAUGAGUUUGUUUCGGAUUAAAAGGAUUAAAGUCUGGUGAUCAACGAGAUAACCGCAACAAACCCAGAUUCAAGCUUCAAGCACCACUUGACCAAACACUACUAAGAUCAACAGCACAAGGGAAGCGGAAUUCAAAAAAUACCCAACCCAGCCAAUGGAAUCAUCUUUCAUUGGUCGACAGGUUUCCAUAAUUUCAAGAGUUUUUCGUAUUUUGGAGGAAGGUAGUGGGAUAAAGAAUCGUGUUGUUUGACAUAGAUCAAAGCUCGAACUUUACACAAAGAUUCUAUCCCGGUGUUACUGAUGCAUUAAAAUUUGCAAGCACAAGAGUGUACAAUGUACAUUGUCACCACCAAACAGCAGCGGUAGUACAAAGAUGGGACCUCGUAAGAAUUCAAUGAAUUGUGCAGAGAAAGGAGUGCUUCAUUUUGGGUAAGCUGCUCUUUUUUACCUGACGCUAUUGUGCUAUUAAUUAGUCUGGCUUGAUCAUGAAUAAGGUUUGCUUGCUGCAUUUUGGUUUUACGGUACCGAAAUUUUCUGGUUUGGCAGGCUGUGAACAUGUUUGUUCUUUCUGAUUAAUAAAUUGGUAAAUAGGUAUAUAUUUUGAUUAUUCAAAUUAGGUAUUCCAAUUAUUUAUUCAUGUGAGUGUUUUGGUAGAUUUGUAUGUUUUGAUUGAGUAUGAAGAAUUAGGUAUUUCAAACUUCUUAUAUGAACAGAGCUAAUAUGAACUCAAAACUUCUUAAAUGUUUUGAUUUUACUAUGAUGAAAUGAUCAAUAUGUGAUGUAAUAGAAGAAUACUAUUGCCGUUUAAUUAUGUAGUUUUUCCAAUUUUUUGAUUGUUUUGUUGUGAAAGUGUCGAAAUGCAAAGUGAAUUGUGAAUGAAUGUUAAGGACCUUUUUCAACAACUUAGAAUAAUUCUACUAGAUGCAACUGUGUUUAAUAUUAAUAUUAUCAAUCUAGUACUUUUACUUAAACCUUUAAUUCCAAUCCAAUAUUCUUGUUCAGAUUCACAAAAGCUUGAACUAAGAACACCUUUCUGAUAGAUACCCUGUUCAUAAUGUUAGCUACACUUAUCCACACAUUGUAGUAACUGAUCCAUGUGUUUGAGUUUCAAGAUGGCUUUGUGAAUAGCAUGGACUAUCACCUGAACGAAAAGACAGUUGGAAAGCAUCUAACCAUGAUUUUGAGGAGAAAUAUGCAUUCCUCUUGACCAAGAGAUGUCAUUACCGGCUUUUCAAAACUUCACAACCAUUACUAGUUUUGAACAACUCCACCGCGUAAGAGUGGUCAACACCAACUCUACUCAACCAUUUUGUCAUAGCUUAGACAAAUUUUGAAUUGGAGUUUCUUAAUGAUUAAUACGUUUUGAUGAUUUGAUUUAUGUAGUGGUUUGGGGCAAAUUGACUUGUUUUAUUAUUGUUUAUAAAUAAGCACUUAUUUAUGCUAUAAAUGCUUAAUUAAGUUGUUUAAAAAAAAAAACUUGUUUAUCCAAUCAAGGCCAAGUAUCCUCUUGUUCCUUCA